rnacentral:rRNA from 1 species
UAGGGAAUCUUCCGCAAUGGACGCAAGUCUGACGGAGCAACGCCGCGUGAGUGAAGAAGGAUUUCGGUUCGUAAAACUCUGUUGUUAGAGAAGAACAGCGCAUAGAGUAACUGUUCUGCGUGUGACGGUAUCUAACCAGAAAGCCACGGCUAACUACGUGCCAUCAGCCGCGGUAAUACGUAGGUGGCAAGCGUUGUCCGGUUUUAUUGGGCGUAAAGCGAGCGCAGGCGGUCAAUUAAGUCUUAUGUGAAAGCCCCCGGCUCAACCGGGGAGGGUCAUUGGAACCUGGUUGACUUGAGUGCAGAAGAGGAGAGUGGAAUUCCAUGUGUAGCGGUGAAAUGCGUAGAUGUAUGGAGGAACACCAGUGGCGAAGGCGACUCUCUGGUCUGUAACUGACGCUGAGGUUCGAAAGCGUGGGUAGCAAACAGG